rnacentral:rRNA from 1 species
GAUGAACGCUGGCGGCGUGCUUAACACAUGCAAGUCGAACGGGAUCCAGGGAGUGCUUGCACUUUUUGGUGAGAGUGGCGAACGGGUGAGUAACACGUGAGUAACCUGUCCUUUUCUUUGGGAUAAGCUCCUGAAAGGGUGUUUAAUACCUUAUGUUCUGUCUGCCUCGCAUGGGGUGGGUGGGAAAGAUUUGUUUCGGUAAGGGGUGGGCUCGCGGUCUAUCAGCUUGUUGGUGGGGUGAUGGCUUACCAAGGCUUUGACGGGUAGCCGGCCUGAGAGGGUGGUCGGUCACAUGGGGACUGAGAUACGGCCCAGACUGCUGCGGGAGGCAGCAGUGGGGGAUAUUGCACAAUGGGCGCAAGCCUGAUGCAGCGACGCCGCGUGGGGGAUGAAGGCCUUCGGGUUGUAAACUUCUUUUGCUCUGAACAAGGCGCAUCUUUGGGGUGUGUUGAGUGUAGGGGUUGAUUAGCGCCGGCUAACUACGUG